UCGAUUGUCUUUUCAUCUUCUCCUCAUGGCUGGGUUCAUACAAAAAACGUUUCUUCAGACAAUUGUCUUCUCAACCCCCACGCCUUCCUCCAUUCACUCAUAAUAAUUAUAUAAUCAUCCAACCCAUAAAGUCACUAACAAUAGAUUGAUUCGUCUGUUUGAUUCAGUUUCAUCUCAUCCACUUCAGUUCUAACUACAAUUUUCCAGUUUCAAAAUUCACAUCGACUCCGGAGUACUCAACCGACGAAUAAUAUAGUACAAUAACAGCCGGUGACCAAAUACGCAGCUUUAAUAAGAUUGAAGCAACGAUUUCCAGCUCCACUUCUACGGAAAGUUCGAACACCACAGCACCGGUGAAAUCCCACAUCGUCUUGGAAAGCUUCGGGUUUUGGUCUCGGCCCUCUUAGUAAAGCUGCACCUUCUGUUUCUUAACUUCGGAUCGCGGCUCUAUCAGUUCACAUGAUCCAUCAAGAUACAAAUUGUCCACAUUCAUCGAUACAUCCUAUCCCUUCCCGUAAAUAAUGAAAAUGGAAUCAUGUAAGCUGUUCAUCGGUCGGCUCACUUGGAACUUGGAAGUCGCACUGAAGAUCGAGAGUACUUUCAGAGUUUCAGUGAGGUUUUAGAAGUGAUUCUCAUGAAGGAUCGAGCCACUGGCUAUGAUCUUUUCUUUUUGUCUUGGCUAAUCCCAAUGUUGCUGAGAGAGUCUUAUUGCUCCUACACUUAAUAGAUGUUAAAUGUAAGUUUUGAUCAAAUUUCUUUUGAGCCAAUACUUCACUGAUACUCAGAAUCAAAGUUAUGGAAUCAAUUAAAGAGUUUAUUUCUUUUUGUUGAUCAAGUGAUUUUGACGGGAACCUGGUGAGAGAAGUAUCUCUUGGGGUGGCCUCUCAAGAGAUUUGUUUUUCUAUUUUGUAUUGCUAUCCACUUUUGUGGUACUUUGUGAACAGGUUCCUCGGUAUUGAAGCUUUAUCAAGGAUGUUUGUGGACUCACGUGAUCUCCCAUUGCGUCUACAACACUGUAUUAAGUUCCCUUGAGAUUUUUUUAGUGAAAAAAGUUCCCUUGAGAUAUGUGUGCUUCAUUAUAAGAUUGGUGCGAAUAUGCUGCUCGGUCCUCAUAUUCAUGUCCUUAGUGACUUAGAAUUCAGUGAUACAACAAUUGAGUUAGUGUUAGAGAGGUUUCCGGUUGCAAUUCGUUUUCAUUUGUUUAGUUGCUGAUUAAUCUUAUUGCAGUUUGUGUUUGAUUGCCUUCAAACCCUCUACGUAGGCUUAGAUUGAAGUCUUCAACUUCUGGAAUUUUGUUUGUCUUAGGAUUGUGCUCUUUCUGGAGGAGGAUACGCAGAAAAAAACUGUUGUACCAAUCGGAAAACAACAUUCCAAUCCCCACCGGUGUCUUCCUAAGAGAUACAGCGGCUUUCUCUAAAGUGGAGCUUGGUUUCCUUGGAGUAGAUUCAUGUUUAAUUUUCAGUCGCCGAUGCUGAUCUCCACGUUCAUGGAAAGGACAAAGCUUUACUUCUAUUGACAUAGGCUCUGGCUCCUCUCUGCAUUAGCUUCAGUGUUGUUUGAUUCUACAGUAAUGGAUGUCUACUCAUACCCCUGUAACAAAAGCUUGGAUUCAAGAUAUACAUAAGUCGAAUAUAUUACUUCAACGCAGAGUUUAUAUCAGGAUGCAUGUGUGAUUCUAGAUGUGCUAAGCAGUUCAAGAUUCAGAAAUAACGUCGCCGUUGUUGAAUCUGGCAGGAAGAUGCUCACGAGUUUUUGAGAUUUAUAAUGGACCAAAUGCACGAUGAGCUGGUGAAACUCAGGGAAGUGUCUCCCAAAUUCACUGCUUCGAAGUCCUCCGUUGUUACUUCUGCCAACGAUGAUGAUGAAUGGGAAACAGUUGGACCCAUGAAUAAAUCUGCUGUGAGGAGAACACAAAUAUUUCUUCCUUCUGAGCUCCGCAAUAUAUUCGGUGGCCAGCUAAGAAGCGUAGUGAAAUCAAAAGGGAGCAAAGAUCUGCUACUGUACAGCCAUAUCUCUUACUUCACCUUGAUCAUAAAGGAAAAAAUAUGGCUGUACAGGGUGAAGUAUCACUAGCUCUGGUCUGUUACAAAGCUUUCCCAAUCUAAAGACACUGGUUUAGGAGAAAAAAGUUUACUUGAUAAUAAAGGAACUUUCUCCAUCAGCUGAUAAGAAAAAGAAAGGGUGUCAAGGGUGGUUAAAAGGAUAAACACUGCAAGAAAUGAACGGCAAGAGAAUCAUUUUGAAGGAUUGGACAUUCUGAUGAUUGGUUGUUAUUUGAGUUGUUAAUGAUGCGAUUGAGGAUGAGGAUGGUAGUAACUAGGUUUGUAGUUGAUCAUUUUAAAUUUAAGUUCUAUUGUGUAUAAAAAAGUUCGUGAAGAGAACCGUGAAUAAGAGGUUGAAGUUUAUAGCAUAAGUACAGAUGGCUGAUCUCUUUGCCUUCUUUUAAUUUUCGUAAAAUUAUUAUGGGAGUGAUUAAAAGAGAGUGUGUUACUUUAGCAUUUUCUUUGUUUUAAUAUUUUCACAAAACAUUUUAUUCCCUACAUGAUUUAGAUUCUUAUUUUAUUAAUUUACGAUCUCA